CCAGCAGCCGCGGUAAUUCCAGCUCCAAUAGCGUAUAUUAAUGUUGUUGUGGUUAAAAAGCUCGUAGUUGGAUCUCGGCAGGCAGCCGGGCGGUCUGCAUCGCUGCAGUCACUGCUCCGGUCGUUUGGUUACGUGCCUGUGUUAAUUUUUGCUGGUUUGCCUGGCCGGUGAUCUUGAUCGGUCGUCGGCCCAGGGUCAGCAGUUUUACUUUGAAAAAAUUAGGGUGCUCAAAGCAGGCUUUUGAAGCUUGAAUAUUCGUGCAUGGAAUAAUGGAAUAGGAGGUCGUUCCUAUUUUGUUGGUUUUCGGGAACCGACUUAAUGAUUAAAAGGGACUGCUCGGGGGCAUUUGUAUUCAGGCGCUAGAGGUGAAAUUCUUGGACCGCCUGAAGACACACUACUGCGAAAGCAUUUGCCAAGGAUGUUUUCAUUAAUCAAGAACGAAAGU
rnacentral:rRNA from 1 species